UUAUUUAUAUAAAAUUUAAUUUUUUAAUUAAAAAGUUAAAAUAAUUUAAAAAGACGAGAAGACCCUAUAGAGUUUUAUAUUUAAAUUAAUUAAGAUUAUUUAAAAUUUAAAAUUAAAAUUAAUUUAUUUAUUAUAUUGGGGUGAUAGAAAAAUAUAUAUAACUUUUUUUUAUAUAAAACAUUUAUAAGUGAUUAGAUGAUCCAAUAAUAUUGAUUAUAAGAAAAAGUUACCUUAGGGAUAACAGCGUAAUUUUUUUUUUUAGUUCAUAUAAAAAAAAGAGUUUGCGACCUCGAUGUUGGAUUAAGAUAAAAUUUAAAUGUAGAAG
rnacentral:rRNA from 1 species